rnacentral:rRNA from 1 species
AACGUAGGAUCCGAGCGUUGUCCGGAAUCACUGGGUGUAAAGGGUGCGUAGGCGGGCUUGCGCGUCAAGGGUUAAAGACCUCGGCUCAACCGAGGGAAUGCCCUUGAUACGGCAGGCCUUGAGUGCGGGAGAGGAUGGUGGAAUUCCUGGUGUAGCGGGAAAAUGCGUAGAGAUCAGGAGGAACACCGACGGGGAAGGCAGCCAUCUGGACCGCCACUGACGCUGAGGCACGAAAGCGUGGGGAGCAAACAGG